AAGUCCUACAGACUGUUCCCGACGCAGACAGUAAGUUAGAGGCGCAGCAGCCGUGGGAGGAAGAGACGUGGUUACUAGAGAUAGGCCAGCCUGAUGGCUUCUGGUGUGAGGGUGAACCAUACCCCGGGCCCAAGGUUUCCUUCUAAUGUCGGUGUUGUAAAGGCAGGGAUACCUGUGACCAAAUAGGGGCGGCUGGAGGACUUUCAAAAGACUGAAUCACUGUGACUGGGACAUGAGAUGGAUCAGGUGAAUGAACUGCAGGUGGAUAAUGUCUCUGGGCUGGAGGACUUUCAAAAGACUGAAUCACUGUGACUGGGACAUGAGAUGGAGCAGGUGAAUGAACUGCAGGUGGAUAAUGUCUCUGGGACAUGAGAUGGAGCAGGUGAAUGAACUGCAGGUGGAUAAUGUCUCUGGGACAUGAGAUGGAGCAGGUGGAUAAUGUCUCUGGGACAUGAGAUGGAGCAGGUGGAUAAUGUCUCUGGGACAUGAGUUGGAGCAGGUGGAUAAUGUCUCUGGGACAGAGGCCUUUUGUUUAAGUGUUGAACUUUCUCCUGUAAACUUCCAGAUAAGAUGUCUUCAUCCUGAACAGACUCAGAAACUUCCUAUGCUCUGAACACCAUUUGUUUGUAACUGAAAAUAUGAUAUGCCUUGUGUGAAUAUUGAAUGUAAACUUUGAAAGCAUU